AUUGAACGCUGGCGGCAGGCUUAACACAUGCAAGUCGAACGGUAACAGGAGAAAGCUUGCUUUCUUGCUGACGAGUGGCGGACGGGUGAGUAAUGCUUGGGAAUCUGGCUUAUGGAGGGGGAUAACGACGGGAAACUGUCGCUAAUACCGCGUAGAGUCGAGAGACGAAAGUGCGGGACCGCAAGGCCGCAUGCCAUAGGAUGAGCCCAAGUGGGAUUAGGUAGUUGGUGGGGUAAUAGCCUACCAAGCCGACGAUCUCUAGCUGGUCUGAGAGGAUGACCAGCCACACCGGGACUGAGACACGGCCCGGACUCCUACGGGAGGCAGCAGUGGGGAAUAUUGCGCAAUGGGGGCAACCCUGACGCAGCCAUGCCGCGUGAAUGAAGAAGGCCUUCGGGUUGUAAAGUUCUUUCGGUAUUGAGGAAGGUUGUUGUGUUAAUAGCACGACAAAUUGACGUUAAAUACAGAAGAAGCACCGGCUAACUCCGUGCCAGCAGCCGCGGUAAUACGGAGGGUGCGAGCGUUAAUCGGAAUAACUGGGCGUAAAGGGCACGCAGGCGGACUUUUAAGUGAGGUGUGAAAUCCCCGGGCUUAACCUGGGAAUUGCAUUUCAGACUGGGAGUCUAGAGUACUUUAGGGAGGGGUAGAAUUCCACGUGUAGCGGUGAAAUGCGUAGAGAUGUGGAGGAAAUACCGAAAGCGAAGCAGCCCCUUGGGAAUGUACUGACGUCUCAUGUGCGAAAGCGUGGGGAGCAAACAGG
rnacentral:rRNA from 1 species